GGUAAAUUACACCAAUCGUCCCUCGUGCCCAUGCCAAAAAGCGUGUUUAGUCCCUAUUUUCAAAAAUUAACUCGGACCGUCCCUCGUUUGUUUAAAACUUGCACAUUUCAUCCCUCUGGACAUAAAAAGACUAUUUUGCCCUUAAAAAAUUCAUUUUUAAUUUUCUUUUAAUGCUUUAUCAUUUUUAUUUAAAAAAAAGAAGAAAAAAGUAUAUCAUGUACCCACCCUCCCUCUUCCCUUUCCCACCGUCCUUUCCUCUUAAUAGAAACCUCCCUAUCUCCGAUCAAAAUCAUCAGAUGAAUCAAUCACCGACGUAUUUUCCACAGCCACUUCAUUUUGGUUCCAAAAUCGUCUCACCACCUAUUCUCCUCCUCUUUACUCGACUCAAAAUCGGUCACACACACCAUGUAGAACCUCCUUCCCACCAUCUAACAACCUCCUGAAUCCACCAGUCAAACUCUAACCGUGGUUACGACACAAUCUAGAAGAAGAGAUUAUUUGUAGCGGUGAUGCUCAAUCUGAAACCCCCAAAAUGAAAUCCGUCAUGAAAUGCCCAAAGUUCUCAAUCUGAAACCACACAUUUCCCCGUAUAUAAAUCUGAAACCCUAGACACACAGGUGAAGAAGGAGAUCGUCGAUCGGAAAAAGAGGAUGGGAGAGAUGUAGUACAGGUGAUGGCGCUCGGGUGAAGAAGGAGAUCUUCAAUCUCGAAACCCUAGGUGGCGAUUCGAAACCCUGACUUAUGCUCUUGGUUGUUGAAGGUCGUCGAUGAGACAAGAGUUGUGCUUGGCGAAAGGUGGGUCACGAUGAAGAGGAUGGUUGAAUGGUGGAGAAGAUUACAAGAUUGUGAGCGGAGAAUAAGGGAUAUCUGAUGGCAAAACAAGGAGGAGAUAGAUGUCAUGGUUCUGUAAACAAUAAUAAUGGUGGUGAGUGGUGCUCCGACGACGGUGGCAGACGGUUUUCCGGCGAUGGUGGUGGUCGGUGGUCUAACGAUGUCCGCCCGGAAAGAAAAUGGUGGUGUUUGUGAUUUUUUGUGAGGGGACGAAGCGUGCAAGUGUUAAACAAACAAGGGACGGUCCGAGUUAAUUUUUGAAAAUAGGGACUAAACAUGCUUUCUGACAAGUACACGAGGGACGAUUGGUUGGUGUAAUUUACCCUAAAAAUUAUAAGGUCCGGUUUUCCAAAUAAAACCAUGUUCUAUGGCUUUAGGUCGUGAUUUUGAGGUAAAAUUUUGGGGUCCAAUCGAUUAAAAUCCAGACCGGUACGUACUCCUUAUCCCUCUUCUUCUCCAGUCCACUUCCGCAACCGACGACUUUGACCACCGCAUCGCCGCCUCAAACCCUUCUCCCGUGCCUCAACCGACCGCUCCAGUUCAUCAUGCCGACAAUCACAUCGCUUCGAGUGUGUUGAUUAUCAACGACAGCAAUCCACGCUACGUUGAGCAACAAAUAUGGAUUUGGCUCGGACUUUUUGCUCUCCGUGUAAAGAACUAGUAAGGAAGCACAGUGUAUCUAGACCACACAAGCAUCGGAGAUUCAAAAAUAGAUGCCAUCAUAAUUUGUGUGCAAGGGGAAUAUAUUCAUACCUCUACAAAACCUCUUGCAUUUUAUCAAAUAUACAUUGGGUCCUCUUGGUGAUUUGCCCUUCAAGUCGUGUCACAUAAAUUUUGGAUUCUCUCAUGAAGCCUAUGAAAAAUCCUCUUCCUGCUCAAACUUUUGGACAUGGCUUCUGCGAGGUAUGAAAAAACACAUAAACUCCAAUUGUAUGGAUGUUCGUUGAGGUAAUUUAUCUUAUUACUUAUCCAACAAUCAGAUGUUGUAGUUUCAUUUGUCUUGAUUAUGUUUCCUUUCUGCCAUAAUUUUAAUGAAACCAAGUUGGCGUAUCCGAGAGUUAGCUGAGUGGGCACUAUGUAAUGAAAUAGAUGUUUGAUUUUGUAAUGACUAGGCAAUAUGGAUUCCCGAAUAGAGGAAUUUCAGAAUAACUAUAUGAAUGAUGUUGUCUAAAAGUACAUAUAAGUGAGAAUGGAGGACGGCUUCUACACUUGAUUAUGUGACAAUUCUACUUCAAUGCAAUAACAAUUUAUUUUUUGAAAAAAAUUGAUGAAAGUUUUAUGUAGUAAGAUAUGAUCAAAUCAAGUUGUUUUUUUGUGACACGCAAACACGUUUAUAUUAAUGGCAAUAAUGAUUGGUUA